rfam:Schistosoma mattheei strain Denwood, Zambia genome assembly, scaffold: SMTD_scaffold0004549
AUCCAGAUGAAGAGUCCUAAUUAGGACGAAACGCUCGUCUUGGAU